rfam:Proteiniborus sp. DW1 genome assembly, contig: DW1_contig51
GUUAUAAUUUUAAAUGUUCCGUAGACAGUAGGUACCUAAUGGUUUAAAAUUCACCUACCGAGGAUAGACUUGAAUGACUACUUAUGAAAUCAAAGGUCUCUCUAUGUCUACGGAGGGACCUUAAUUAUAUUUAAA